GUUUAUGAUCAUACCACCCUGAAUGCACCUGAUCUUAUCUGAUCUCAGAAACUAAGUGGAGCCAGGUUUGGUAUGUCCUUGGAUGGGAGAAUAUCUUUAAAGAAGGUCUAAAGGGCCCAGAGU
rnacentral:rRNA from 1 species